GGAUGCGUGGGGUGCGGGGAUGCGGAGGGCGGGGAGGGAUGCGGGGGAUGCGAGGAGGAUGCGGGAGAUGGAGGAUGCGGGGGAUUGCUGCCCUUUGUGCCCAUCCCGUCCUGCCGAGGAUCCCGGCCAUGCUCCCAUGGCCAGCACGGGCUGGCGGCAGGGACAGGACCGAGGGGAUGGAGCUGCUGCUCCUCUCCAGCCUGGAGCUCCCAGCACCCUCAGAGCAUCCCUGCAGCCGAGCCCAUCCCUGCUGCUGCACCAUUCCCGGCUGGAUCCGUCCCUCUGGAGCGCUGCCUUCCACACCCCCGGGCCACAGCAGGGGCUGGCUCUGUUUUCCCUCCAUCCCUUGUCCCCAGUCCCUCCCCAGCUCUCCUGGAGCCCCUUCAGGCCCUGCCAGGGGCUCUGAGCUCUCCCAGCCCCAUCCCACAUGGAAUCCUUUGGGUUGGAGAUGGGAAGGUGCCCGCUGGGGUGGCACAGACCUUGGGAGCAGCAGGGAGCAAGGCUAAGCUGUGCCAGGGCUCCCACCUGGCAUUCCACAGAAAAUUCCACCAUUCCCUUCAAAUUACCAGCCCUUGCUGUGGGCACAGCAGAGUCACACAGAUCCGAGGAGGGUGA